CCUCCAAUACUUAAGUCAAUUCAAACCUUGAGAACGGGGAUGAAAAAGAGUGAGAGAGUAAGAGAGAUCGAAUGGAACUGAAGGAGGAUUUGGUAGAUGUCAAGAUUUUGGCCUAGUUUCCCACCAGUAGAGUCUUCCCUAAUUUCAGAGAGCAAAACUUAUCCAUGGAGGAUCCUUAGCCCUCAUUUAUAGAGAGGUUGAGGAGGCCAUUCCAGAGUUUGUUAAGUUAUUAGAGAAGUUUGCUAGGUAGUUAGAGAGCCACCUGUAAGUA
rnacentral:lncRNA from 1 species